CUUCCUUCGCGUCGCCUCCCGCACAGUUUACCGAAUCUCAUUUUCCGCGAGGAAUGUCUAUUGCAGGCCCCCUUCCAAGGCUCUUUUACAUACGCCAUGCUGCUUUCAUACCCGUAUCAGGACAUUGGUUUAUAGCAACAUAUGGCCCGUAACUGGAGGCACGGACAGGGGAAUGGGCUCGGAAACUUAACCCUAAGAUAAGAUCUGGUUGUAGUAUUGCGUCAGUUUGACCCGUCUUUUAAGCCUACGAAUGAGUCGAAACCCGUCAACCGCUGAAAAGCGGCCGGCUGGAAACGAGUCUUUCGGCGGGCGGACUGAUAGGGAGAACCGUCCAGUCACGGUAUGGUGCCAUACUGUGCAAGAGAUUGGAGCCAUGAGUCUAUUCGAGAAGAGCCUCUGGUCUGAGGACACUCGUCAGCCCGAUCUACUGGAACCGGGGGUUGGCCAGUAUGGGCAGUUCCAAAGAUGCUGUUGAUAAAGAGAGAAACUGUCAUUUCGAACGGGGAGAGUUGAGCCAAGCAUUGGAUACACACUAUCAGUCACUGCGUUUCAUUGAAUAUCACCACGAAUGGAUUGCCUUGCCGGAAUCACUCAUCAAGUCCGAGUGUAGUGAGGAUUUCAUGGGUACAAACAGAAACACUUCACUGAUACACUGACUCACCAAACUUGAUAUGCUCUCGGAUCUCUCGACGUCGCCUAGGCUAUUUCUUGCCGUGUCACUUCUGACCGCAUUGUCAACAAGCACUUGGAAUCACAUCUGGGGUAACUCCCAAUAUGUGUGAUGAUCACAUCAAGCCUAGCCACACGCAUUAACUUUCCAUUGCAAGAAUCAGCAAGCAAUGACGAAAGAUGCCAGUCAAUCGUUGUGGUGUCUCUUGACCCUCGACAAUUUCCUCGACAGCCUUCCGAAAGGAAUGAAUCGAGACGAAAGCGCGGUUUUUGUGGAUGUCUUUUGUCCGCGCGUCGAUGCCCUCCUUGCUAGCAUUGACGAUGCAUGAUGGAGAGGAUACAAAAACUAGUCCUUGUUGGCAGCGAAGAACACACAGAAGGAGUUGUUGUUUUAUUGACGGUCGAGUCUCACGUUUGCUGUGUUUCCAAGAAAAGCGUGGAAGCAUCUGAGUCAAUGAGUACUACGCGACCCUGAAUCCUCUCUGUCGGUUUCUACAUUGAGCCUUAUCCUGGGACCCAUCCCGAGUUGGAGUCAAAGUUUCGUGCUUGUCUGGGAUUGGGGGAAAUGGAGUUUUGGCACGAAAGGUGAACGGCAAUCGGGUAACGAAUUGGCACUCAGUUGAUUGGUUUUAAAGGGCAGGCCUCGAGGGAGUAGGCAGCUCUGGUUGUCCCCGUGCCAGCAAUGGUAGGAGGACAACCCCCCAGCAGUGAGG
rnacentral:telomerase_RNA from 1 species